rnacentral:lncRNA from 1 species
CUAAGAAGUAUAAAAGCUGCCUGCUCUGGCUACAUCUUAGUCCCCAUUUCUAUGAGAUCUCCAUGCCCGUGAAUGAAAAUUGUUAUUUUUCUCCUGUGAAUGUCUUGUGUCCACGUUAUCAUUCGUUCAGCAACGAGAAGGUAAAAUAAGGGGAGCUUAUUUAAGGUAAAAUAAGCUCCCCUUAUUUAGGUAAAAUAAGGGGAGCUUACCUUCCCAACAGGAGCUGAGAUCCUCCAGUUAAGGAGAAAGGAGGGGGGAAUUAGCUGCGUGUUCAGGUCUUUCCUUUUACAUGCGUGGCUGUGUCAUCAAUACGAAGGUCAGGCUGGACCUGAGGUUUCUUCACAUUUAUUAUUCAGAAGCACUCACUUUGACUAGAAAGGACCUGCAAACAAUUCAUGCAUCGGGCAGCACCCCAUCUGGCAAAUAGAAAGGCCCUCCUCUAUGGCAUAGAAAAAGGAAGGGGUUUUAAAGGGACUCCAUUAGGGGCCUGCUGUUUCUUUUUAACAGUGGAAAGGAAUACGUCAUCUCUUAAGGGCAGGCAUUGCUAUCCAAAGAGGCUUUAAGCAAACGUGUUUUUUUUCCCCCUCUUCUGUUGUUCCUAAACUAAAAUUAAAAUCUCUUUACUGGUUGGAGAAAAAAAAAAAAAAAAAGGAAAAACACCUCUUCGAUUUUAUCAUGAAUUAAAACUUCAACCUUAUAUAUUAUUGAAAUAGUAUGUCUUUAAUUUUGAGGUUAUUAUUUUGGUUCCUUUAGAGCUGACAUACAACUUUUGUUUAAAAUGGGCAUUGUGAUGAUUUGCUAAAAAUAUAUAUCUUGAGAAAUGAUUACUGCAGUAAGAGAUUUCUUUUCUACAAAGAUCCAGGAAUGCAGUUACCAUUCAUUCCUGGAUGGAACUGGGAAAAAGACAGAUGACAACUGGGAAAAAUUAUCAGGACAUUGUGAAUGGAGACAUGAAGAAUUCAGAAUUUCACAGCGGACUUUCAUAGUCGGUACUGGCUCUUCCUGUUUUUUUUUUUUAAAAGGCAUGUCUUUCAGAAUUGAGUAGUUUUUCUCAAAAGGAACUAUCACCCUUCCCACAAGUCUAGGAGGCAGUUGGGAAUAUUUGGAAAUGCUUUUGUAAAGCGUAACAAGGGCGAGCAGAUAUAAUUAUGCUCAGUAUUGAUCCAAAAGGAAGGUAACCUUUCACUUAUGAGAGGAAAAAAGUCCCUAUCUUAUAGUAUAAUUUAUAUUAGGGUUACACUCACUCUCAAGUUAGAUUUAUUGUGAAAUUUAAAGCAGACACCCAAGCCCUGAUUGCAGCUGGCAAAGCGCCCUCUACUGGCGCUUUCCCGAGCUCGCUAAGUCCCCCAAAGCCACACUCAGGCCCUAGAUAGGGUGCCCUCCUGAAACCUCCACCACACUCCUGGGUCUUCAGUGAGUUUGCAGAAUGACUCAGGACUAUUUUCAAUUUAAUCAUAAGUUUAAGAAUUUUUUUUAAAAAAGCUUAAUUGUACGUAGGUUUUCAAAGAUGGCUUUUUGUCACUAUCUGGAAAACAUGGUUAUAGGCUUUUCAACGGACGAAUUCUCUUUAGAAUACGAAAACAAUUAACAUGUUCCCUAGAAGUCAAACACUUUAAAUACAUGUUAAUAUCACGAAUUCUAAUUUUCUUGAAUUCCCUGACCUCUCCGUUCCAGGGUCAGUUUUAUACCUUGGUCCAAAUGGCUGGAGAGACCAAUUUUAUAUCUUGGUCCAAGAUGGCAGUGGCAGCCCUUACACCAGGGCAGUUUUUCCCAGAGGCACCCAGCGCUGCCACCUACCCCACAGCUCACUUCAAAGCCGGAUCCUGAACCCACUGAGUGAGGCCAGGGAUGGAACCUGCAUCCUCAAGGAUCCUAGUCGGGUUUGUUUCCACUGAGCCACAAGGGGAACUCCCCCGAGCACUUUUCUGACACCGAUGUCUACACACAAAGAUCUAUGUAACACUGGGUAUAGCCUUUUUUUUUUUGGUCUUUUUAGGGCUGCACACAUGGCAUAUGUAUGUUCCCAGACUAAGGGUUGGAGCUGUAGCUGCUGGCCUACACUACAGCCACAGUAACAUGGGAUCCAAGCUGCGUCUGCAAACUACACCACAGCUCACGGCAAUGCCAGAUCCUUAACCCACUGAGCAAGGCCGGGGAUUGAAACUGCAUCCUCACUGAUACUAGUCAGAUUCGUUUCUACUGACCCACAAUGGGAACUCCCCUAAUUUUUUUUUUGAAAGUGUGUAAAAAGAUGUGUGAAGAGAGAAGGAGAAAGAGAUUGUAGAUGCAAAGAUUUGGGGGUAUGCUAGACGUCUAUAAAAUACUCAAGUUAAUGAUAUAAAUGUAUGUAUUAGGAUAAAUGUAGGUGUAUUGAUCAAACUGAGAAAUAGUUCUGAAGAGAUAUAUUUAGCUAAAUAAAAAAAAAUGGAUUACUUCACUAGCAGAUAGUGAAUCUUUAAAACCGAAAGCAAUGAAUCACAAAAUAUAGUUUUAACUACUAUUGAAAUAAUACAAGGACUCAGUAACAGUUUUUUGGGUUUUUUGUUUUGUUUUGUUUUUUUUCCUUUUUUGGCCAACCUUUGGCAUAUGGAGUUUCCCAGCCAGGGAUCAGAUCUGAG